rnacentral:rRNA from 1 species
CUUAGCCUACGGGAGGCAGCAGUGGGGAAUAUUGCACAAUGGGCGCAAGCCUGAUGCAGCGACGCCGCGUGCGGGAUGGAGGCCUUCGGGUUGUAAACCGCUUUUGUUCAAGGGCAAGGCACGGUCUUUGGCCGUGUUGAGUGGAUUGUUCGAAUAAGCACCGGCUAACUACGUGCCAGCAGCCGCGGUAAUACGUAGGGUGCAAGCUUUAUCUGGAUUUAUUGGUCGUAAAGGGCUCGUAGGCGGUUCGUCGCGUCCGGUGUGAAAGUCCAUCGCUUAACGGUGGAUCCGCGCCGGGUGCGGGC